GGCCUUUUCUCGGCUGUAGGCGAAGUAUGUUGAGAUGAGAGGUGUCCGGCACAUGAACAGUGGGCCUUAAGAAGUAGAAAGUCAAACAUUUGGGUGAAUGUAUGCUUAAUCAACUAAGGUUGUUUCGAGAUGUUUUUUUUAAUGGUAAUGAUUUUUAAUUGCGGAAAUUAAUGCCACUUGUUAGCUCACUCUCUGAAACCGAGCUGAAGCAGGAAAAUUAGUUUUGUAUUUCGGAUUUUCAAACUAUGCUGCACAGCGCUCCACCCCCAGUGCUGUGCCCUCAUGUUGGAUUGGCUGCCAGUAUUCUGUGGACAGAGAUAUUGCAGACCACUGUUGGGGGGGACCUUUGCAGUUUCCAAAGUUGCACCCUGGCACAAGAUCACUGGCUGAGAAAGGAAUUGAUUACAAUCUGAAGAUAAUUCCGGAAUUCAAGAAGAGCAGCCACUCAAGGCCUGAUGUUGAGCAGAUGUGUUGAAUUAGUGUGAUCUUCAAGAGACUUUACUUACCCCAGCCCCCCAGGUGGUGAUGGCUAACUGUACCACUCCUGUUCCACUGAUCUGAAAACAUUUAAAGGGCUGGAUUGAAACAGUUUAGAAAUGUGCCAUGGCAUGUCUUCAUAGUUUUAUGUGUAAAUAUUUUCUUACUCAAAAUAAAUCAUUCACUGUAAUAUUUGCUGAGGAGGAA
rnacentral:lncRNA from 1 species